CCUACGGGAGGCAGCAGUGAGGAAUAUUGGUCAAUGGACGAGAGUCUGAACCAGCCAAGUAGCGUGAAGGAUGACUGCCCUAUGGGUUGUAAACUUCUUUUAUAUGGGAAUAAAAUGUUCCACGUGUGGGAUUUUGUAUGUACCAUAUGAAUAAGGAUCGGCUAACUCCGUGCCAGCAGCCGCGGUAAUACGGAGGAUCCGGGCGUUAUCCGGAUUUAUUGGGUUUAAAGGGAGCGUAGGUGGAUUGUUAAGUCAGUUGUGAAAGUUUGCGGCGCAACCGUAAAAUUGCAGUUGAAACUGGCAGUCUUGAGUACAGUAGAGGUGGGCGGAAUUCGUGGUGUAGCGGUGAAAUGCUUAGAUAUCACGAAGAACUCCGAUUGCGAAGGCAGUUCACUGGACUGCAACUGACACUGAGGCUCGAAAGUGUGGGUAUCAAACAGGAUUAGAUACCCGGGUAGUC
rnacentral:rRNA from 1 species